GGUUGAUCCUGCCAGUAGUCAUAUGCUUGUCUCAAAGAUUAAGCCAUGCAUGUCUAAGUAUAAACAAAUUCAUACUGUGAAACUGCGAAUGGCUCAUUAAAUCAGUUAUAGUUUAUUUGAUGGUAUCUUGCUACAUGGAUAACUGUGGUAAUUCUAGAGCUAAUACAUGCUUAAAAGCCCCGACUUCUGGAAGGGGUGUAUUUAUUAGAUUCAAGACCAUCGGGUUUCGGCCCUCCUUGGUGACUCAUAAUAACUUCUCGAACCGCAUGGCCUUGCGCCGGCGGUGCUUCAUU
rnacentral:rRNA from 1 species